UAUCUGGUUUUGUAACCUUUUGUUUUCAACCAUUUAGUUAUUUGAAGACAAUGAUGAAUUUUCGGUGUAUUCUUUAGGUAGCUUUCUGAAAAAUAAUUCGCAGGUACAACUCAGGCUUGGUGCAGCUAGCUUAAUGUUAGCCAAUUUGUUGCGAACUUAGUAAGAACGUGCUAGUCUUUCACUGUUGUCCCCAAACUAUUUUGCAAUGAUUAAUGUUACUUUUUUCCCCACACAAAUGUAACUAGGCUGGUAACAUAUUUUGAUGAAUACAUUUUAUUGCAAGUUUUGAUUGUUGGAACACCUGGACAGUGAUAUGCAUGAGAAGCAUGAUGAGAAGUCGCGGCUUUGUCCAAGGACGCCUCGUGGCACUCACUGACUCUUCUAUGGUCUUUACAUUGAUGGUCACCUUCUCAUUAUCUCCUGAGGGCCGACAUGAAGCACACGAAGCCAACGAGUGUUGACCGCCUAAUGCCUUUACUCGGCCCACUUCUGGUUGGAUUUUCUGCAGUCUGGAGUGUCCUGCCAUUGUGAAGACCUGAGUGACUAGGUAUGCCAACAGAAAUGGUUUUGACCCGCCCACCCCCACCCUAGAGGCCGACAUGAAACACACUGCUGAUGGGGAAAUGAGUUGACCAUCUUAUGCCUUUACUCGUCCCACUACUGGUUGGAUUUGCUGCAGUCUGGAGUGUCCUGCCAUCGUCAAGACCUGAGUGACUGUGGGUAUGCCAAAAGAAAUAGUUUGACUCCUACACCCUAGAGGAUUUUAUGUAGGCUUGUCAAAUAUAUAAUGUAUAGCCCACUGUUGCCUCUGUUUCUACUGCAGUUAGCAGAAUUGUCAAUAAAGGAAAGUGUUAAACUGCA